rnacentral:rRNA from 1 species
UACGGAGGGUGCAAGCGUUAUCCGGAUUCACUGGGUUUAAAGGGUGCGUAGGCGGGCAGGUAAGUCAGUGGUGAAAUCCUGGAGCUUAACUCCAGACUGCCGUUGAUACUAUCUGUCUUGAAUACUCGGGAGGUGAGCGGAAUAUGUCAUGUAGCGGUGAAAUGCUUAGAUAUGACAUAGAACACCGAUUGCGAAGGCAGCUUGCUACAGAGUGAUUGACGCUGAGGCACGAAAGCGUGGGGAUCAAACAGG